rnacentral:rRNA from 1 species
AUUGAACGCUGGCGGCAUGCCUUACACAUGCAAGUCGAACGGUAACAGGCCUUCGGAUGCUGACGAGUGGCGAACGGGUGAGUAAUACAUCGGAACGUGCCUAGUAGUGGGGGAUAACUACUCGAAAGAGUGGCUAAUACCGCAUGAGAUCUACGAUGAAGGCAGGGGAUCGCAAGACCUUGUGCUACUAGAGCGGCCGAUGGCAGAUUAGGUAGUUGGUGGGAUAAAAGCUUACCAAGCCGACGAUCUGUAGCUGGUCUGAGAGGACGAUCAGCCACACUGGGACUGAGAAACGGCCCAGACUCCUACGGGAGGCAGCAGUGGGGAAUUUUGGACAAUGGGCGCAAGCCUGAUUCAGCAAUGCCGCGUGCAGGAUGAAGGCCUUCGGGUUGUAAACUGCUUUUGUACGGAACGAAAAGCCCCGGGUUAAUACCCUGGGGUCAUGACGGUACCGUAAGAAUAAGCACCGGCUAACUACGUGCCAGCAGCCGCCGUAA